UCUGGCUUCCUUUGGGGGUCCGAGUUGUAAUUUGCAGAGGGUGCUUUGGCGUUGGUGGCGGUCUAAGUUCCUUGGAACAGGACAUCGCAGAGGGUGAGAAUCCCGUUUGUGGUCGCAUGCCUUCGCCGUGUAAAGCCCCUUCGACGAGUCGAGUUGUUUGGGAAUGCAGCUCUAAAUGGGAGGUAAAUUUCUUCUAAAGCUAAAUACUGGCCAGAGACCGAUAGCGCACAAGUAGAGUGAUCGAAAGAUGAAAAGCACUUUGGAAAGAGAGUCAAACAGCACGUGAAAUUGUUGAAAGGGAAGCGCUUGCAGCCAGACUUGCCCGUAGUUGCUCACCCAGGCUUUUGCCCGGGGCAUUCUUCUGCGGGCAGGCCAGCAUCAGUUUGGGCGGUCGGAUAAAGGCCUCUGUCACGUAUCUUCCUUCGGGAUGACCUUAUAGGGGAGGCGACAUGCGACCAGCCCGGACUGAGGUCCGCGCUUCUGCUAGGAUGCUGGCGUAAUGGCUGUAAGCGGCCCGUCUUGAAACACGGACCAAGGAGUCUAACAUCUAUGCGAGUGUUUGGGUGUCAAGCCCGAGCGCGUAAUGAAAGUGAACGGAGGUGGGAACCCUUGGGUGCACCAUCGACCGAUCCUGAUGUCUUCGGAUGGAUUUGAGUAAGAGCAUAGCUGUUGGGACCCGAAAGAUGGUGAACUAUGCUUGAAUAGGGUGAAGCCAGAGGAAACUCUGGUGGAGGCUCGCAGCG
rnacentral:rRNA from 1 species